GCUGUUUUUCAGACGUUGCCGUCCCUGCGUGCGAGAAAAUGGCGCAGCUCCUCUGCUGUUAUUGUUUCCUUCGGACGGCGUGAUGGUAGGAUGUAUGCCCAGUCGAGUGCAGCUUUACUCUUAUAUUGCCAGGGCUUGCAAGUUUAUUUGAGCUGAAGUUUGUCAUCUUUCUCCUGUGUGAAGUACGUAAAGUGGGAAAUAUUUUGGUUGCACGAAAGGCCGGAUUAGUUGCCAGUAGGCGUGAAUGCAAGCAUAUGGGAUACUUCAGCCGUUAUGCAGUUUCGAAUCCAUCAUUACUACGGAGGUAGCAAGACUUUGCCCCGGUAGCUGACAUGACCAUUGUGCGUGAUGGACACAAUUCAUCAGUCGAUGCGGUUGGGAUGACCCACAGACUCGUGGUGGCAGCCUCUGUUUUUGUGACUUGCAUGUGGAAAUUCAGUAGCUGUUGAUUUAAAUUGGUGUAAGAGCCUAUCGCAGUGAACAAGGUAGAAGUAAGUAGCUAGAGUUACAGGUUGCAAUGUUGGUUAUGUGGCCACCGCACUGCAGUUGCACACUUUAGAUUCCUAGUGACCAAGUGGUUUUGAAAUUGCGGGUCUGAAUGAAUUGUGAGGUUGCCUUGAAAGGGUCAUAAGCUUACUGAUUGUUGCAGUUGUAACCACACUUGGAGGAUACAAUCAGGAUCUUUGGUUAGCGUAUGAACUGUAGUGAUCUGAUAAGAACAGUUCCAUUAUUUAAUAAAACUAUUAAUAAGGUAGUAUAU